rnacentral:rRNA from 1 species
AACCGCAAGGCCGUCGCCUCACUUGCCAUGCUCAUCUCUUAGGCCAUUUGGAAGGAAAGAAAUGUACGUGUGCUUCCUCACAACAGCGUCCCAUCAAUAAUCCUUCUUCGUGAGAUUAAGCACGAGGCGGCCCUAUGGGUGCUUGUUGGUGCUAAGAAGCUAGGGCAAAUCAUGUCAGGAGAGUAG